rnacentral:rRNA from 1 species
UACGUAGGGUGCGAGCGUUGUCCGGAAUUAUUGGGCGUAAAGAGCUCGUAGGCGGUUUGUUGCGUCUGCCGUGAAAAUUCACAGCUUAACUGUGGACGUGCGGUGGAUACGGGCAGACUUGAGUUCGGUAGGGGAGACUGGAAUUCCUGGUGUAGCGGUGAAAUGCGCAGAUAUCAGGAGGAACACCGGUGGCGAAGGCGGGUCUCUGGGCCGAUACUGACGCUGAGGAGCGAAAGCGUGGGGAGCGAACAGG